UGAAAAAUGGAUGAAAAUCAUAGCAUCAUAAGAUAAAUGAGCUUGGAAGGGACCUUAGGAGGUCUGUAGUCCAAUCUCCUGCUCAAAACAGGAUCAGCUAUG